rnacentral:tRNA from 2 species
UCCGCGGUAGCUCAGCGGUAGAGCAGUCGGCUGUUAACCGAUUGGUCGCAGGUUCGAAUCCUGCCCGCGGAG